rnacentral:lncRNA from 1 species
CUCCCUUAAAAAAACUGAAUCUAUUUUUAAGUCAAAGUUUAAGACAUAAGUAUACUUUUUAUAAACUUUUGUGCAUAUCUCUACUUUCUAUUUUUUAAGUUAAUAACGAUAAUAAAUUACGAAUGUUACUCUAAUACUGUUUAUUGUUCUUCCCUGUUUCCUGCAACAAUAUUCGGCCAUGUACGGUCCUUCGUAUUUGCAUCAACGAGAGAGUACACGGCACUAUCCACCCAUGUCCAGCAUGUAGCAAUACUGCAAACUUUAAAUCUAUUUUAAGGCCAUUUAUGAAAACAAAUGUUUUUACUUUAGAACGCAGAUUUUCAAUUUUUGCUCAUAAAGGUUUUGAAUUUGUUGAACUUGCAUCAAUCACAGUCAUGGCAACGAAAGUGUUCCUAAAAUAUUUCACCAAUUCGUUUGCAAUUACCCUGGCAACCAGGGUAACCAGGGUAUUUGCAUUGCGAAUUGUCGCUAAAAUUUGUCCCUUGGGACAUCGCACUAAGUGUUUUUUUACGUUUGACGUCAUAAGAAAGGUCUAUUAUCUGAACUUCGUGUUUUCGAUCGUUUCCACGAAACAACACUUCUUGCACCAAAACCAAAGGUGAUUGGUGCAAAUUUUACAACAAGAAUUAGGUUAUCAAUUACGUAGGCAAUUUUCAAAUAACUCAGCAGGUUCGUGUGAGCAAAUGAUUUUAGAAACACUCCACCAUUGCCAUGACUGUAACAGAUGCUUAAUUUCUGGGAAAAGUUCUUGAAAUACACCGUUCCGGAAAGUACAUAACCAUGGCUAUAGAGUCUCGUUUAAGUCAGUGAUUGAGACCUUGGUUUUAGAGACGUAUAUCUUGUUACUGAUGACAUAACUAUAAACAGUCUUUUAUUUUCUUGGUUAGACCUAGAAAUAACACUAUUUGUAUAGGUAAUAGUAUGGUUUCGUGGGCAAUUUGAACAUGCACGAGUGAGUUUUUCAAAGACUUUGAAAAAGUCACGAGUGUAUGUUUUUUCAAAUUGCACAAGAAACCAUACUAUUACUUUUAAUAAUAUACACGAAAAUAUUAUGCAGUCACUCCUAAAUGUUUGUGUUUUUUUUUGUAUUAUUUCUGUUAUUGUUAUUAUUGUUUCAUAUUUUACGUCAAUCAGAAAGCCUACAUAGUUAAUAAAAUUUGCACUGUAAUUCUUAAUUCCCAUAUGCAAUGUCACAAGUAUGCAUAGAUAUUUGCAUGUCAAACCAAGACGAGAUUUUCACAUCUGCAAGAAAGCGAGUUCCCAAAAUACUUGGUGUAUUUUGGUGUAUUUCAGUUAUUUUGAAUAUUCUUAAAAUACAAUCAUAAAAAUGUGAAAUUCGGUUAAAUGCCCUUCACGACUGCAAAAAUUUACUUUCAUUAGAUUUAGUAGCAUAAAAACAUUUGUUUUUGUAAAGUUGACCUUAAAUAUCGAAACCACAUAUCCUGAUACCAAAAUACAAAUUGAACUAAGUUUCCUACUAUUUUAAACUAAAAGUAUUUAUGGUGUACAUGACAAUUAUCUUUUGUGUGGUGUGGGAUACCUAACCGUUAUGGCCCUAACCCAAGAUGGCGACACCAGUGUCGACAUAACCAAUAAUUAUGGCCCAAUUAAUAAAUAUUUGAAUGGUGACGAUGAAACUUCAGCCAAACAUUUCUUGUGAAGCGUAGACCAUGUACAAGAAUCCAUCUUCAUCCUUUUCUUCGCGAUAAAGUUCUAACAUUGUUGUUGACAAACUAGCAAAACUUUUGUUGUUUACGAUGAGGUAAAAAGCUUGACUUGAUUUCAGCUUCAUUCGAUUUCUGUUAAAAUUGAAUAAGCUAAUAAAUUCAGGCUACCUGGCAAAGAAGUUGAAGGCAAGGCAAAAUAGAAUAGUUAGUGUAUGUAAGUGUAUACUAAAGCCUCAGUCAAACGAGGAUGAGACUUGAGAAGCGAGAGUUUGCAUAGGACGGACGUUUCUCUCGUGACUGGGUCAAAGUCGAGAGAAUAACAGUUGCACGAGAGUUGAUUAGAGACAGAGUUAUUGGAUAUAGUCC